rnacentral:rRNA from 1 species
CCCUUAGAUGUUCUGGGCUGCACGCGUGUUACAAUCGGGAGUCCAACAAGAUUGCAAAUCCUAGUGGAUGAGUGGUUCUUCGAAAUUUUCUGAAGACUGGGAUAGUUGAUUGAAAUUAUUCAACUCGAACGAGGAAUUCCUUGUAAUUGUAAUUCAUUAUAUUGUAAUGAAUACGUCCCUGCCCUUUGUACACACUGCCCGUCGCUCCUACCGAUUGAACGAUCCGGUGAAUUAUUUGGAGUAGCUCUGGAAGUUGCAGAACUUCCUAUGUCACGAAAUUUUGUAAACCUUAUCGUUUAGAGGAAGGAAAAGUCGUAACA